UGGAGUGUUUUUGAACGAGAAGCACAGAAUACUUCUCCUGUCUGUAUUUACACUGAUUCCUGUGCUGUGUUCAAGGGAUGCACUGAGUGGCUUCCUUUCUGGCAACAGAAUGAUUGGGAAGUUAACAGGGUUCCAGUGUGGCAAAAGGAAAAGUGGCAAGAAAUUCUAAAUAUUGCAAGCCAAGGAGACUUUGCCAUUGGGUGGGUGCCAGCUCAUCAGGGAGAUGAGAACCCUGCAGGAGAGUGGAAUAACAAAGCUGAUGAGCUAGCAAGACUGAGUCCCCUGAAAAAUAACCAGAUAGCUGAAGACGGGGAACACCUGUUAGAAUGGCUGCAUGUGAAAAGGCAGCACACUGGUAUAAAAGAUUUAUACCAAGGAGCCCUUGCUCGCGGCUGGCCAGUCACCAGAGAAAUGUGUAAAACAUGCAUAUCAGCCUGCAGCCAGUGUCGCAAACGAUUAGAAAGACACCCCCUGGAAGAUGACCCCCUGCACCUAAGAACAGGUAAAGGCUUAUGGGAUGCUUGGCAGGUAGACUACAUCGGUCCCUUUAAGAGGUCAGGAGGUAAACACUAUGUGUUAGUAGGAGUAGAAAUAAUAUCUGGAUUAGCUCAGGCUAAUGCAUUCAAAAUAGCUACAGGAUGUAGUCUGGAACUCAAUCUUGGGGCUGGAGACAGAGCAAUGCAAGUCCAAUCAAUGUGAUUAAUAAUAUACGUUCUCUUUAUUCACGAGAUGGCUGGUUAUAUACAGUAAGAAUAGUUUACAGUAACAGGUGCAUUUCUAUUGGCAGUGAAGUGUGGACAAAUAUGUAAACAAUCACAGUUUAAGGCAGCUACCAUGUCUCCACCUUAACUAUCCCAGCUAAAGCAUGUUCACACCUUAAGUGAUUUUCUAACUGCACCACAGGUUUAUCUACUUCUAGGCAGGCCAGAAUGUGAGGCCUAGUUUGGGAUAGCUCAACCUUUAUUCUAUAAGUCAUCCUGCUACAACAGGAGACAACACUGUCACAGCACUACAGGAGUGGUUUGGAACCUUUCCCAAACCACAAGAGAUCCAAUCUGAUAAUGGGUCUCAUUUUACAGCUAAAGUGGUGCAAGACUGGGCAAAAAGUGAAGGUAUCAAAUGGGUUUUUCACACCCCCUACUAUCCCCAGGCAAAAGGAAUCGUAGAAAGGACAAAUGGUCUCUUAAAACGAUUUCUAAAACCACAUGAGGGAAACUGGGAUGUUCGGUUGUGGGAGGCGGUGAAAAGUGUCAAUGACAGAUGGGGGAUAAAUGGGUGCCCCAAAAUCACUGCUUUCUUCCUGAAAGCCCCAAGCCUAAUCCCCUCAUUAUGGGGACCAGAUGAUUCCAAAAAUCCAGCUCAUUACCCUGGACAACCAGUUCUAGUGAAUCUCCCUGCUGUUGGAGAUGUACCACUAGUGCUGAAAACUCCUCUGAAUAAAUUUGUGUGGGUUGCAUCUGAUGCCCUGGGGAAGGAGCAUUGCAUAAACACACGCUGGAUAGUCCCUUCAUUUUAACUAUUCUGCCCCUUAGUGGCAGAUUUUUGUUGUGUUUACUUUUAACAGAUGGCUGAAAGAAGAUGAUAAGGAUCAUGCUAAAGCUAGUGAUUCUUCUCUGCGCCCUUCCACAACUCCGUGGCCAAGAACCAGCUGAGUGGCCAUGGACCGAAGCUACCUACAGACACACCACCACCAUGGGGUCCUACUCCAGCCUCGGAGGACGUCGCCUGACUCUGGCAGUGGUGGUACUGCAUAACUCCGAACUGUAUCGGCCGAGUGAAUGGAGGUGGGAUAGAAACGCUCACUCACACGCUUUGAGUGGAACUGUAGGUGAAAAGAUCCAGGCGUCAUGCAGAAAGGUAGAAGGGUCUCUCUACGAAAAAGCUUCCUCAGUUACAGUUGCUGGAAAAUUCCUAGAGCUAGGUGGGAUGAAAGCUUUACACCCCCAACUCACAGCAGAACUUUGUUCCACAACUAAAUGGAAAUGCAUUAAACAAAUUCCCCUUAGAAUAUGCUGCCGUCACACACAGGCUCCCAAGACUGACAAUGUAGUAAUUACAAAAGAAUGCAAAACUGAACCUGCUGACUGUUGGUAUAAUUUUACCCUAACCCAAACAAUUGAUAUAUCAUGUAGUUGGUUCAAUAACUCGGCAAACCAGUUAGGUCUGAGAGGCUUAGCUCAUAAAUUUAGAAUAAAUGUUAUGGCUAAGCCCAUACUGAGUACAGCAGCCCCAUUUGUUAUAGAAGUAACAGAAAGUACACCCAUUACAUCCCAAAUCGUAGAAAUAACUCAGAGCGCUCCUAUCACAUCCCAAAUAGUAGAAAUAGUAGAAAGCACUCCUAGCCAUUCUACCACACCACAAAUAGUACACACAAUCACACCACAAAAGGUAGCAACCACAUCGCAAAGGACAGAGGGAACUAGCAGUACCCUCAACCAUUCUGUCACUUCCAGCUCCCAAAACCUACUUAACAUCGAAUGGCCAUGGUCCCAAGCUUUUACUCGCUUUACUGGGUCCAUGGGAAAUGUGAAAGGUUUGAACCUGUUAACUGUUGUUAUGCAUGAUAAUCAAGUGUACACUGGGUGGGAAUGGGAACACCGAGAUAGGAUUUGGCAACUACAAGGGAUGAUAAGAAAAAGAAUUAGUGUAGGCUGUUGGAUGAUUAAUGGAACUGCCCAACACAAAGCAAUUCAAAUCACUGUUUCAACAGACCAGGCAAAGUAUGACAGGGUUUGCACGUCCCCUAGAGUACAGGAUUGUUGGUAUGAUUUUAUUUUAACACAGACUGUAGAAGUAGUCUGUCUUUGGGCCGAUGAUGAUGAAGGGCUUUCUUUAAAGUUUAAAAUAAAUGCUGUAGCUCAACCUGUUACUGUUAGCACUAGCACUCAAGCACAACCACCAGUUGUACUAAGCCCAAAAAUCUUUAAAAUUGGACCAUAUAUAAUCAGGAAAACUGGCCAACAACAAUUAUUGUUUAAUCCGAUAUGGUCUCUCAAACAAGUUAAACUAUUGGUGCAAACUAAUGUCACUGAAAUUCAGCCUGCUUGUUCACCUUUCUUGCAAACUUCUUUUGAAGGAGGGACGACAUGGUUGUGAAGGCACAGCCCCCCUGAAAGACGCGUGCCAAGAGAUGUUACCGGUGCCGUAGGAACAGGAUUGGGAAUCUUGAACAGCAUUGACUCAGAGCUCCAGUUACAUCUUAUCAGCUUCUACAAUCUAACUACACACUGAUCCACAAGCUAUGGCCUACUCCGAUUGGGAUGAACCCCACUUUAACAAAGCAAUUCUUGCUUCACCAAGAUUUAAUUAGGAUUUUAAAGAAAAUUAAGAAAAAUGGACAAAAGAUUGAUAACUGUCCAUCACAAUGUGGAAGAAAUCCAUCGUGUUCUGGAAAGGGUAAGAAAGGAUGUCGAGCACAGGUGGAUGGAUACUCUCUUUGGGUGGUCGCCCACAGCUACGAGUGUCCUGAAUAAAUUGUCUCAUCCAAUCGUUGUUCUUUUGAUUUUAAUUUUGAUUGGUUUUGUUUUAUCAGAAAUCUCAUUCUUUUUGAAUUGGAGAGUGAUGAAACAGUUGAAACGGUUAAAAUCUGUGAUGUAUGCACACAAUUUAGUGUACAUACCCCCUCCAAUAGAUAUACUUAGAAACAAUACAUAUACUUAGAGAUGUUGACACAAGAUAAACUUUAUAAGUAGGCCAUAGCCGUGGACUGUGAAAUGGAUUUUGCCUAAGUAAGAUGAAGAAAUCUUAGAUACAUAUUUUUAAGCUAAUUAUGUAUUUUUGAUUUUGUGUGAUUUGCUAUGUUCACUUUUAAAAUUUGUUCAUUAUUUGAAAAUUGUUUUAAUUGUUAUCAUAAUCUUUUUAUUUGAAAAAAUUGUUUUAAGACUUUUGCCUUGAAUAUUUGGAAAUUGUUUUAAUUAAUAUUAUUAUGAUCGUUUUGAAUUAAUAUUGUUAAGAUUGUCUUGAUUAUUUGACUUUGUGAAUCAUUUAUCAUUAUAAUUUGCCUAAUAAUUUUAUUAAUCAAUAUUGACUAUUAUUUGGAUUUGUUUUAAGAUUUUAAUAUCAUUGUGAUUUGUCUUAUCAUUGUGAUUUGUUUUGAGAUUUUAAUAAUCAAUAUUAUUCAUUGUUAUACAUCUCUUGUUUUUUCCCUUCUUCUCUCUCUAUUUCUUUUAUUCUCUCUCUCCCUCUCUCAUCUUUGUUUUCCGGGAUAUACUGCUGACAACGAGUCCUGAAGACUUCAGAACAACGCAACAAACUCAGCUGGUGGAGCUCUCUUGUCGACAACCAUGAGUCACAGGGUGGUGUAAUAGUCGGUCCAAAGGCCCCUCAUCUGCCUCACAAAUGUCAGAGGCUGAGACCCCCACAGACCCUGGUCCGCAGCACAGGAAUUCUGGCCUGACCGAGGCGGGACCCAAGUUUCUCCCUGCAGGUGCACCCGUUGGACCAAAACGCCCUCCCCAGAGACCCGUGCAUGAACAAUGGGGGGCUGCUAUGGUUCCUGGGCUGUGUUUGCGGAGGAGUGUUUACUGUUUCUGUACCAACUGUACUUGCUGUGAAGGACUGGGCACACCGCUCCCUCCAUUGUGAGGAAACACCUGCAACCUUCUCUCCCUUUCUGGCAUGAUGCCCUUUGCCUCGAAAAAGAACUAUAACAAUCACCCCCAGAGAAGAGACACUUUGAAGCCUCCCCGGCGGACAAGACGGGUCUAUUGGCACACACCACGAGGACUGCGAAGGUGGUCGUGGUUUCCAGCAUCACGAGGACUCGUGUCUGUUUAGUCGGUAGCUAUAACCCCCCCUUUUCCUCUUUUCUCUCUCUCUCUCUUUCUCUCCCUUCUCUUCUAUCGCAUAAUUGUGUGUAUCAAUAAAGAUACAAUUGAUUCUAUUUGAACUAA